rnacentral:rRNA from 1 species
GACGAACGCUGGCGGCGUGCUUAAUACAUGCAAGUCGAGCGGUAAUCUCACCUUCGGGUGAGAUUAUAGCGGCGGACGGGUGAGUAACGCGUGGGCAAUCUGCCCUCUAGCCUGGGAUAACAGUUCGAAAGGACUGCUAACACCGGAUAAUGUUGGUUCGUGGCAUCAUGAACCAAUUAAAGUUUACACUAGAGGAUGAGCCCGCGUCCCAUUAGCUAGUUGGUGAGGUAAUGGCCCACCAAGGCGACGAUGGGUAGCCGACCUGAGAGGGUGAACGGCCACACUGGGACUGAGACACGGCCCAGACUCCUACGGGUGGCAG